ACGGGUGAGUAACACGUGGGAACGUACCCUUUACUACGGAAUAACGCAGGGAAACUUGUGCUAAUACCGUAUGUGCCCUUCAGGGGAAAGAUUUAUCGGUAAGGGAUCGGCCCGCGUUGGAUUAGCUAGUUGGUGGGGUAAAGGCCUACCAAGGCGACGAUCCAUAGCUGGUCUGAGAGGAUGAUCAGCCACAUUGGGACUGAGACACGGCCCAAACUCCUACGGGAGGCAGCAGUGGGGAAUAUUGGACAAUGGGCGCAAGCCUGAUCCAGCCGUGCCGCGUGAGUGAUGAAGGCCCUAGGGUUGUAAAGCUCUUUCACCGGACAAGAUAAUGACGGUAUCCGGAGAAUAAGCCCCGGCUAAGUUCCUGCCACCGGCCGCGGUAAUUCAAAGGGGGCUAGCGUUGUUCGGAAUUACUGGGCGUAAAGCGCACGUAGGCGGACAUUUAAGUCAGGGGUGAAAUCCCAGAGCUCAACUCUGGAACUGCCUUUGAUACUGGGUGUCUUGAGUAUGGAAGAGGUGAGUGGAAUUCCGAGUGUAGAGGUGAAAUUCGUAGA
rnacentral:rRNA from 1 species